ensembl:lncRNA
AGCCUAGUGGUUAGUGUAGAGGGGGUAGGUAGGCUAGUGGUUAGAGUGUAGAGGGGGCAGGGAGACUAGUGGUUAGAUUGUAGAGGCGGCAGGGUAAUCUAGUGGUUAGAGCGUUGGACUAGUAACCAGCAGGUAGCCUAGUGGUUAGAGCGUUGGACUAGUAACCAGCAGGUAGCCUAGUGGUUAGAGCGUUGGACUAGAACCAGCAGGUAGCCUAGUGGUUAGAGCGUUGGACUAGUAACCAGCAGGUACCCUAGUGGUUAGAGCGUUGGACUAGUAACCAGCAGGUAGCCUAGUGGUUAGAGCGUUGGACUAGUAACCAGCAGGUAGCCUAGUGGUUAGAGCGUUGGACUAGUAACCAGCAGGUAGCCUAGUGGUUAGAGCGUUGGACUAGUAACCAGCAGGUAGCCUAGUGGUUAGAGCGUUGGACUAGUAACCAGCAGGUAGCCUAGUGGUUAGAGGGUUGGACUAGUAACCAGCAGGUAGCCUAGUGGUUAGAGGGUUGGACUAGUAACCAGCAGGUAGCCUAGUGGUUAGAGCGUUGGACUAGUAACCAACAGGUAGCCUAGUGGUUAGAGCGUUGGACUAGUAACCAGCAGGUAGCCUAGUGGUUAGAGCGUUGGACUAGUAACCGAAAGGUUGCUCGAUCUAUUCCCCGAGCUGACAAGGUAAAAAUCUGUUGUUCUGCCCCUGAACAGGCAGUUAACCCACUGUUCCUAGGCCGUCAUUGUAAAUAAGAAUUUGUUCUUAACUGACCUGCCUAGUUAAAUAAAGGUUAAAUAAAAAAUUAACAAAAAUCAUCUCCACUUUAUAGACAAAGAGACCAUAGACCCUUCACACCAUCCCAAUAACUUCUCCUUCCUCCUGAAGUGUGCAAUCUGAGGAAUUUAAACGUGCUGGAUUGGUGUAGGCAUGGGUUAGUGGGAUGGAUUGGUGUAGGUUAGUAGGAUGGAUUGGUGCAGGUUAGUAGGAUGGAUUGGUGUGGGUUAGUAGGAUGGAUUGGUGUAGG